rnacentral:rRNA from 1 species
AACGAACGCUGGCGGCGUGCCUAACACAUGCAAGUCGAACGGAGAUAAGAAGCUUGCUUCUUAUUUUAGUGGCGCACGGGUGAGUAACGCGUGGAUAAUCUACCUGAUGCUCUGGGAUAACAUCUCGAAAGGGGUGCUAAUACCGGAUAAGCCCACGAUCUCUUCGGAGAAUGCGGGAAAAGGAGGGGACCUUCGGGCCUUCCGACGGUAGGAGAGUACGCGUCCCAUUAGCUAGUUGGCGGGGUAAUGGCCCACCAAGGCUACGAUGGGUAGCUGGUCUGAGAGGAUGAUCAGCCACACUGGAACUGAGACACGGUCCAGACUCCUACGGGAGGCAGCAGUGGGGAAUUUUGCGCAAUGGGGGAAACCCUGACGCAGCAACGCCGCGUGAGUGAUGAAGGCUUUCGGGUCGUAAAGCUCUGUCAGAAGGGAAGAAAUGUAGGUGGCUAAUAUCCAUUCUACUUGACGGUACCUUCAAAGGAAGCACCGGCUAACUCCGUGCCAGCAGCCGCGGUAA